rnacentral:rRNA from 1 species
GUCUAUAGCCAUGCUACCCUGAACAAGCCCGAUCCCAUCUGAUCUCAGAAGCUAAGCAGGGUUGGGCCUGGUUAGUACUUGGAUGGGAGACCACCUAGGAAGACCAGGUGCUGUUGGCA